rnacentral:rRNA from 1 species
ACACAUGCAAGUCGAGGGGUAACAUUGUAGCUUGCUACAGAUGACGACCGGCGCACGGGUGAGUAACGCGUAUGCAACCUGCCUUUGACAGGGGGAUAGCCCGGAGAAAUCCGGAUUAAUAUCCCAUGGUAUUUACGAAUCGCAUGGUUUGUAAAUUAAAGAUUUUAUCGGUCAAAGAUGGGCAUGCGUGACAUUAGCUAGUUGGUAAGGUAACGGCUUACCAAGGCUGCGAUGUCUAGGGGUUCUGAGAGGAUGAUCCCCCACACUGGUACUGAGACACGGACCAGACUCCUACGGGAGGCAGCAGUGAGGAAUAUUGGUCAAUGGGCGCAAGCCUGAACCAGCCAUCCCGCGUGAAGGAAGACUGCCCUAUGGGUUGUAAACUUCUUUUCUGCACCAAGAAUGGUUACUACGUGUAGUGAUUUGACGGUAGUGCAGGAAUAAGCAUCGGCUAACUCCGUGCCAGCAGCCGCGGUAAUACGGAGGAUGCAAGCGUUAUCCGGAUUCAUUGGGUUUAAAGGGUACGUAGGUGGCCAAUUAAGUCAGUGGUGAAAUCCUGCCGCUUAACGGUAGAACUGCCAUUGAAACUGGUUGGCUUGAGUACAGUUGAGGUAGGCGGAAUGUGUAGUGUAGCGGUGAAAUGCUUAGAUAUUACACAGAACCCCGAUUGCGAAGGCAGCUUACUAAACUGUAACUGACACUGAGGUACGAAAGCGUGGGGAGCGAACAGGAUUAGAUACCCUGGUAGUCCACGCUGUAAACGAUGCUCACUCGCUGUAUGCGAUACAUUGUAUGCGGCCAAGCGAAAGUCUUAAGUGAGCCACCUGGGGAGUACGUUGGCAACAGUGAAACUCAAAGGAAUUGACGGGGGCCCGCACAAGCGGAGGAACAUGUGGUUUAAUUCGAUGAUACGCGAGGAACCUUACCUGGGCUUAAAUGCAGAAUGACAGACGUCGAAAGAUGUUUUUCUUCGGACAGUUUGCAAGGUGCUGCAUGGGUUGUCGUCAGCUCGUGCCGUGAGGUGUCGGGUUAAGUCCCAUAACGAGCGCAACCCUUACCGUUAGUUACCAUCAGUUAGGCUGGGGACUCUAGCGGGACUGCCACCGUAAGGUGAGAGGAAGGUGGGGAUGACGUCAAAUCAGCACGGCCCUUAUGUCCAGGGCUACACACGUGUUACAAUGGCCAGUACAAAGGGCAGCUACCUGGUGACAGGAUGCUAAUCUCUAAAGCUGGUCUCAGUUCGGAUCGAAGUCUGCAACCCGACUUCGUGAAGCUGGAUUCGCUAGUAAUCGCGCAUCAGCCAUGGCGCGGUGAAUACGUUCCCGGGCCUUGUACACACCGCCCGUCAAACCAUGGAAGCUGGGGGUACCUGAAGUCUGUGACCGCAAGGAGCGGCCUAGGUAAA